AACGAACGCUGGCGGCAUGCCUAACACAUGCAAGUCGAACGAGACCUUCGGGUCUAGUGGCGCACGGGUGCGUAACGCGUGGUAACCUGCCCUUAGGUUCGGAAUAACUCCCCGAAAGGGGUGCUAAUACCGGAUAAUGUCUUCGGACCAAAGAUUUAUCGCCUUUGGAUGGGCCCGCGUUGGAUUAGCUAGUUGGUAGGGUAAAAGCCUACCAAGGCGACGAUCCAUAGCUGGUCUGAGAGGAUGAUCAGCCACACUGGGACUGCGACACGGCCCAGACUCCUACGGAAGGGAGCAGUGGGGAAUAUUGGACGAUGGGCGAAGGCCUGAUCCAGCAAUGCGGGGGGAGUGAUGAAGGCCUUAGGGUUGUAAAGCUCUUUUACCCGGGAUGAUAAUGACAGUACCGGGAGAAUAAGCACCGGCUAACUCCGUG
rnacentral:rRNA from 1 species